AAUCAACGCUGGCGGCGUGCCUCAGACAUGCAAGUCGAACGAUUAAAGCUCUCUUCGGAGAGUGUAUAGAGUGGCGCACGGGUGAGUAACACGUAAGUAAUCUACCCUCGAGUGGGGAAUAACAACCGGAAACGGUUGCUAAUACCGCAUAAUGCAGCGGCACCGCAAGGUGACAGUUGUUAAAGAUUUAUCGCUUGAGGAGGAGCUUGCGGCAGAUUAGCUAGUUGGUAGGGUAACGGCUUACCAAGGCUACGAUCUGUAACCGGUCUAAGAGGACGGUCGGUCACACUGACACUGAAUAACGGGUCAGACUCCUACGGGAGGCAGCAGUCGGGAAUUUUGGGCAAUGGGCGAAAGCCUGACCCAGCAACGCCGCGUGAAGGAUGAAGUAUUUCGGUAUGUAAACUUCGAAAGAAUAGGAAGAAUUAAUGACGGUACUAUUUAUAAGGUCCGGCGUAACUACGUGCCAGCAGCCGCGGUAAU
rnacentral:rRNA from 1 species